UUUAUGUUCCAAGCUUCCGUUUUUUUUUUUUUUUUUUUUUUUGUCCAAUCUUACUUUUUAUUAUCCCUGGACAUCUACCUAAAAAUGGAAACCAAGGCAUCAAGCUGAUU
rnacentral:ribozyme from 1 species